rnacentral:rRNA from 1 species
UUGACCUCGAAUCAGGUAGGAAUACCCGCUGAACUUAAGCAUAUCAAUAAGCGGAGGAAAAGAAACCAACCGGGAUUACCUCAGUAACGGCGAGUGAAGCGGUAACAGCUCAAAUUUGAAAUCUGGCUCCUUCGGAGUCCGAGUUGUAAUUUGUAGAAGAUGCUUUGGGUUGUGGGUUCGGCCUAAGUUCCUUGGAACAGGACGUCAUAGAGGGUGAGAAUCCCGUAUGUGGCCGAGGCCUGCGCCUGUGUAAAGCUCUUUCAACGAGUCGAGUUGUUUGGGAAUGCAGCUCAAAAUGGGUGGUAAAUUUCAUCUAAAGCUAAAUAUAGGCCAGAGACCGAUAGCGCACAAGUAGAGUGAUCGAAAGAUGAAAAGCACUUUGGAAAGAGAGUUAAACAGUACGUGAAAUUGUUGAAAGGGAAGCGCUUGCAACCAGACUUGGGCACUGCUGAUCAUCCAGAGUUCUCUCUGGGGCACUCGACAGUGCACAGGCCAGCAUCGGUUCGGGUGGCUGGAUAAAGGCCGUAGGAACGUAGCUCCUCUCGGGGAGUGUUAUAGCCUGCGGUGCCAUGCAGCCCAGCCGGACCGAGGACCGCGCCUUCGGGCUAGGAUGCUGGCGUAAUGGUUGUAAGCGACCCGUCUUGAAACACGGACCAAGGAGUCUAACAUCUAUGCGAGUGUUUGGGCGUUAAACCCAUACGCGGAAUGAAAGUGAACGYAGGUG